rnacentral:rRNA from 1 species
GAGCGACGCCGCGUGGGUGAUGAAGAUCCUCGGAUCGUAAAACCCUGUCAGGUGGGAUGAAACACCAUUCGGUUAAUACCCGAGUGGCUUGACAGUACCACCAGAGGAAGCUCCGGCCAACUCCGUGCCAGCAGCCGCGGUAACACGGGGGGAGCAAGCGUUGUUCGGAUUCAUUGGGCGUAAAGAGCUCGUAGGCGGCUCUAUAAGUCGGGAGUGAAAGACCACGGCUCAACCGUGGAAACGCUUUCGAAACUGCGGAGCUUGAGGCCGGGAGAGGAGAUUGGAAUUCCUGGUGUAGCGGUGAAAUGCGUAGAUAUCAGGAGGAACACCCGUGGCGAAGGCGAAUCUCUGGACCGGUUCUGACGCUGAGGAGCGAAAGCUAGGGGAGCAAACAGGAUUAGAUACCCUGGUAGUCCUAGCUGUAAACGAUGGGCACUAGGUGGUGGGGGGAUCGACCCCUUCCGUGCCGCAGUUAACGCAUUAAGUCGCCCCGCCGUGGGGAGUACGACCGCAAGGUUAG